CGCUGAUGCCUUCCUUAGCUUCUUCUCUGCGUCGGCCAUCAUGGAGCCCUGGUCUUCUCCUCUAACUCCGGUGGUCGACUCUCCGUUCUUCUCGGUUGUCCCUGUAUCUCUAACUCCCACAAUGUAAGUUCUCUUUGAUAAAUAUCCUAGGUUCACCUCUCCAGUAGCAAGCCCCAUCGUCUAGAUUUUUUUCUAUUUGCCCAGCCAUCUCCUAUCUGUGCACGUACUCAAGAAGUUCACUCACGUCAGCUGAUCCUUAUCAUCCUGUGAGCGUGCAUGGGAAGCCUCACUCUGUAUAUUAUUCUACCAGCCAUCCUCAUCUCUUCCUCACUAGAGCACAUUAUUCUCUGGAAUAUCUCACCACGCCAGCUCCUGGGACGCGCGUCCAUCUACUGCGCUCGGUUCCCUGGAAAAUCUUCACCACUCGGCCUCUCUGUCACGUAUUCCUUCAGCCUGGGAUUUUUCCUGACAUCGUUCUCAUCCGCGCGGGUGGGGUGGGAACAAAAUUUGCCGCCGUUCAGGGAAAAAUCUCGCCACCGCCCCCUGUUCUUUUUAUAUGCGCACACACGGUGGUCUUCCUGCUCGCCUGGCUGCGCGUCCAGGAGCUCCCAUCGUGGCGCAGCUUCUUCCCAAGCCGCGCUCCACCUCCGAUGGCGCUUGGCCGCCCAGCUCUCCCGCUGUCCGCCCGCCUGGCGCCCAGACCAUGGCCGCGGCUCUCCUCCAGCUCGCCCUCAAGCCCCAGCCCGGAUCUUCCCGUUCCUGGCCGCGCCCCUGGUCCCUGCCAUGGCGGCCGUUCCCUGGUCGGAGUGGAUCCUCAGCUCGGAGGCUUCCUCGAGCUCGACCGCCCACCUCCCUGCUCGGUCCCUGCUCCAGCGCCUGUUCCAGCUCCAGUACGCCGAGUUCCUCGCUGUCUGCGCCAUGGAGCUCGCACCGACGACCGUCAGUUGGUCCUCCUCUAGCCGCGCGUGGUGCGCGCUCUCCCUGGCUCAUGUGCCCAACGCCGUCGGCUCUAGUCUCUCGCUCGGGGUGGUUCCGUCGUCUUCCUCAGGCUCGACACGCCGGUCCGACAGCCGCCAUCCCCUGCUUGGUCAUGGUACCUAGCCGUCGCGCCCCUGGCUCGGCUCUGCUCGCCCCUGUGCUGUCGCUCAGCUCGCUGUGGAGCUUGUCCACCAUGGUACUCUGCAUUCUGCUGCGCUCCAGACCAUCGGAUCCUGCGCUCACCCCGGCCGCGACCUCGUCGUCGUUCCUCAGCUCGCGGGUGCCGUUGUUUCGUGUGCUUGGCCAUCAGCGUUCAACGGCCGUCACGACAUCCCCAGUCUAUCGCGUCAUGCUCCGGUCGUCGAUCGGCUGACCGUCGUCGUCGUGUUCUCUGCUUCCCUCGUCGGUCAACCUCGCCGCGGCUAAGUCCAUCCGCCGUGCUAUGUGCUGUGGUCUCUGGUCGAGGGACAUCAAUACUCUAUGUCCCUUGCUCACCUCCCUGGUCGUGCUCGCCGGGACACUAUUCUCUAGCCAACUACCGUCGGUGGAAGCCCUGCCAUCGAUAUCGCAUGAUAUUGGUUGUCUUCUUCGACCACGUCAUUGCCUCACAGGAUUUGGACACCUUGUCGACACUCGACCACGUGUUCGCUCGUUACCACGCCAUCUUCAGCAUCAUGGUUCUAUAAGACUCCGCGCACUCAUCGGCACCCGGCUGUCAAUCUCCACCACGCAGCGCUGCAUCGGACUUACCCUGUAUGAUGUUCGACGACAAGCCCAAACCAGAAUUUAUCAAUAUUCUCACAAGUAUUGAGUCACGUUUGAAUGCUGGUACAAUAAUUAAUCACGUGAUGCGGAGGAAAAGAGCCAAGUCGACCCCAAGCGUGGGCUAAUCCGCAGGAUGAUGCUGAUAGACGAACCGGAAGAUGGAUAAUCUGAACGAGUGUCAAGCCAAAGGAUGCUCGCCAAGUGGUCGCCUAACAAACACUAACCUAGUGUUACU